CCUACGGGGGGCAGCAGUGAGGAAUAUUGGUCAAUGGGCUUACGCCUGAACCAGCCAAGUCGCGUGAGGGAAGACUGCCCUAUGGGUUGUAAACCUCUUUUGUCAGGGAGCAACGCCGGCUACGUGUAGCCGGACUGAGAGUACCUGAAGAAAAAGCAUCGGCUAACUCCGUGCCAGCAGCCGCGGUAAUACGUAGGGGGCAAGCGUUAUCCGGAUUUACUGGGUGUAAAGGGAGCGUAGACGGCAGCGCAAGGCUGAAGGGAAAUGCCGGGGCUUAACCCCGGAACUGCUUUGGAAACUGUGCAGCUAGAGUGCAGGAGAGGUAAGUGGAAUUCCUAGUGUAGCGGUGAAAUGCGUAGAUAUUAGGAGGAACACCAGUGGCGAAGGCGGCUUACUGGACUGUAACUGACGUUGAGGCUCGAAAGCGUGGGGAGCGAACAGGAUUAGAUACCCGAGUAGUC
rnacentral:rRNA from 1 species